AUUCGUGAAAUAUGAAUUAAUAAGGUUUUUAGUUUUGUUAGAGAAGUUAAAAUAUAUAGUCAGUUUAUCAAAGAGAAGAUAAUAAUUCACGCAAUCAAAUGCCUUUCAAAAGUCAAGUAAGGUUAUCAUAGUCGUAAAUUUUUGGUACAUUUCAGACAGAUAAAGCAAAGCAAAAACGCAACUAUGUCCAGACCGGAAUCCUGACUGCAGAGGUGUCAAGAGCUGUUUGUCUUUGAUAUUUUUUCGAUUGGUAACUUAUUAGAAUUUCAAAAACUUUAGAUAAAAAAGGAAGUAAAGAUGUGGGCCUGAUCUCGUUUUUCAUUCCAUGUUUUGGGAUUGAUGUGAGGAAAAAGAAAGAGAGGUAGGAGAGUUUAAGUUUAAAUAUUAGUUCACAAUUUCAAUGAAAAAUAGAAGUUCGAAAAUAUCUCUUGAGUCAUUUUUAACUACGAUUAUUUGUAGCUUAUAUACUUUUCUCAUGCCUUGUUAGGAUGACAGUACAGCCUCGAAAAUUUAAUAAAUUGUAACCAGUUUUUCUUUUGAUUUAUUUCUUGUCCUAAAGAAAUUAAAUGUCUAAUUUAUUUUUAAAUGAAAAAUUUUCAAACAGAUUCUUUUUUUAAAUUUAAGACAACCAAUUUUUUUUAAAUAACUAAUAAAAUUUUGCUAAGCAUUUGCAACAAAUCUUAUUUCUUCAAGGUCAAAAACGUGUUGACAAUGUUUUCAAAAACGUGGGUGUUCUUAUUAGAACAACUUAACAUUCCCCGCAUAAAAAAAUUUAAUUUUAAUUCUUUAAAUUCGUUUAUUAAUAAAACUCACACACAUGGAUACGACAACCUCCCGCAAUGCAUUGAAAUAAAUUCUUAAAGAUUUUUUGCAUCGCAUCUUUUUUUAAAAUUCAAAUUAAGUAGAACACGUGUGAGUGUGUGAUAUCUUCAACUUGAUUCCAAAAUUAAAUUAUAUAGUGCGCGCAAAAAAUUGAAAAAAAAAUAUACUUAUUCAUCCAAAAUUAGAACGAACACAGAACAAAACCUCCUGCUGAUGAUAAUUGUUCUCGAAAACGCAAGCAAUUCGAGAAUGUGGUUCAUUUUGUUUUCUGUGAUUUUAAACCAAAUUUAAAAUAUAAUCAUUUAUCUGGAUUUCAAUUAAAUUUCCAAAAAAGAAAAACAAAACGAAAAAUGAAAACACACUCACAAUUUUUAUUGAACAAAUUAAAUUGGUAUUUUAUUCAUCAUACAAAACACGCGCUGUGCCUCAUCACUGGAAGCCUUAUUUUAUUUAGAAGGAACUAAAAAAUAUAAAAAAACUAUGUAUUGUUUAAAAAAAUACCAUCUAAACCAAAAACAAACUCAUCAAUCAAAAGCAUGCAGAUAAAUUUUGUAAUGUUACUCAUUAAUAUUUGUUUUCAUUUUGAAAACAAAAAUAAUAAAAAUGUGAA